rnacentral:rRNA from 1 species
UAUCUCUGUAGAGUCUGCAUAUCAAUAAGCGGAGGAAAAGAGACUAACUAAGGAUUCCCUCAGUAACGGCGAGUGAAGCGGGAAGAGCUCAAAUUUGAAAUCUUCAAGGUUCUACCUUGACGAAUUGUAGUUUAAAGAAGUGUUUUCUGUUGAAGUUUCGGUAAAAGUUCUUUGGAAUAGGACAUCAUAGAGGGUGAGAAUCCCGUAUUUGACCGUUAUUUUCAGCUGUGUGAUACACUUUCAAAGAGUCGGAUUGUUUGGGAAUGCAGUCCAAAAUGGGUGGUAAAUUUCAUCUAAAGCUAAAUAUUGGCGAGAGACCGAUAGCGAACAAGUACCGUGAGGGAAAGAUGAAAAGAACUUUGAAAAGAGAGUUAAACAGUACGUGAAAUUGUCAAAAGGGAAGCGUUUGACACCAGUGUUGUUUUUCUGAAAAUCAAUUAAAGAACUGUUUAUGCUAAGCUGUUUAGACUUUAUCAGCUAUCUGUUUAGUUUUGAGCUUUUCUUUAAUGCACUUUUCAGUUAACAAGUCAGCAUCAAUUUCUUUUGCUGUAAAAAAGCUUGAGGAAGGUGGCUUGAGAUUCGUCUUAAGUGUUUAUAGCCUCUUGCCUAUGCAGUCGGAGAGAUUGAGGUCUGCAGCGUAGAUCCUUCGGGGCUAAAUGCAUUUGUGCUAAGUUAUAGCAUUUUAUAGACAACUUGUUGACUAUGAUUUGUCUUGUAGCUUACUCGCUUAUGUUAUUUUACCUACGCUUAGGAUGUUGAUAUGCAUGACUGAUAU